AAUCGUCCAUUCUAUAGAAUAAGGUACAUUUUAAGAUAGUCAAUGAGAGUCACAGCGAGCAGAUGGGUGGAAAAAGUUAAAACCCAAUUCUGUUCCAACCAUAUUUAAUAUGCCCAACCCACCAAAAAUGUUGUCUACGCCCACACGACAAUCUCACUACAAGGUUAUGAAACUAGUGGAAUUGUUGGAUCUUCAAAUAUUAGUGGAACCUGUGAAACUGGCAAAUGUGAUGUAGAGGAUGGAGUUGCACAUAUUCAUGAGGUUAGUAAUCGAAUUCCUAUCAUUUGACUGAAAUUAUUGUCUGAAACACAACUUUUUCUUUAAUAGCUGCGCAGCUACAGGAACAAGGUGGCACCUAUUCUAUAGAAUAAUACCGUACAAUUGAGCUUUAUGUGACACAAUAAUUUAUAUCAUUCUGAUACUCCGAGACUGCAAUAGUAUAAAUAUAAUUAUAUUUAUACUCUGUCCAAACAGGCAUGAGCCGCUCAUGCUUGCUACAAUUUUAUUAGUACGAAUUCAGUUGAUUCUGAACUUGUUGACUGUUUGUUUCGGAAGUAAUUGACUGUAUCCAUGCAGAUCUCUUGCCUAUUCUAGAAUCUUGGGCAUAGUCUAUCGCUUACUUUUUGUCUUACUUGUCUAAAAGUAAGAAGACUGCCAGGGAACAUGAUACGCUGGCAAUGAAGCCAAAUACAGCACUGUAAUAAAACAAAAUACCGUAUGCAAUCUUCUCUAAGAAAAUAUUGUGUUUUAGUGAGUUCCUAACAGUGUUAAAUUGUCAAAAAAUAGUUGAAUUUUAAAAAUAGCUCCAAGUUUUCAAAAAAUGGCAUAUGGUACAACCAAGUUGCUAACGAUGCAAAGUAUCUGGGUAUGACCUUGUACGUGAAGCUUCGCUGAAGGCUCAUGCCGAGAAGAGAGAUCUUGAAAAGAAGCUUUAUUGGCUGAGCGGAAGAUACUCCAACUUUCCAAUCCGAAACAAAGUACUCAGAUAUUGAAGCCAGUAUGGAUGUAUGGUUUACAAAUUUGGGGGUGUACCAAAGACAGCAACAUCAAUGUCAUACAGCGAUUCCAAAACAAGGUGCUGAGGAACAAUGUGGAUUCUCCUUAGUAUGCCAGGAACAGCGAUUUUCGUGGGGACCUGCCUGUUGACCUGAUGUCUAGAGGGUGCGGAGAGGCAAGAGAGGCGAUCCAGCUGCUAGGAAUCCAAAAGGAGGAAACCGUUGGAACUAGUGUAGUGCUUGUUCAAAUAGUGUCCAGUGAAAGAGCAGAGCAGUGAUUGCGUGAAAUCUAACUUUUAGUGCAGUCAAUAGGUGUACUUAUUAAUUCAACAAAAACAGUAAGAGCUUCUAAUGAGAAAUUCGCGGUUUCAUUUAUCAAGUAGUAUGUUAGGAUAGAAAAAAAUUGCUCAUUAGUAUUUAUACUAAAAAGCUGUAGUAUUGAAAAGAUUGAAUAUAUAAAAUAGCUAUAGAAUAUAAAUAUAGAAAGCUAUACACCGUGAUUCAAAAAGAAUACCACAACUUUGAAAAUUGAUCUCUGCAAAGAAUAAACGGAGAGUGGAGCACUAUCCGUCAUCGAUUCGAGGAAGCUCUAAAGUUUUUUUAGUUGCAUAUUCCAGCAGGAUGGAGCACUACUCCAUUGACACUCACUCAUCUGUCCGUGCCUAUUUGAAUGAAAACUAUCUGAAGCAAUGGAUCGCCGCCAAGCAGCUCGAGACAGAGCACUUCAUCACUGGCCUCCAAUAAGCCCUCACCUCACCCCUGCGAUUUUUUUCUAUGGGGGUACGUUAAAGAUGAAGUGUAUCGACCUCCUCUACCAGCUAACAUUGAGGAGCUCAAACAAGAAAUAACAGCAGCUAUACAAACUGUUACGCCCGAUAUGCUACUGUGGGUGUGCAACGAGUUAGAGUAUCGUAUUGAUAUCACUUGAGUGUCUGGAGGGGGUCACAUUAAACAUUUGUGAACUUGUUUUCUAGUGAGGAAAAUUUAUUUUAAUACUCUUAAUUUUGAUUUACAACCCAAGUUUCUAUUAUGUUUCCUUGAUUAAAUACAGAUUUUCAAAGUUGUGGUAUUCUUUUUGAAUCACGCUGUAUUAUAGAAGUUACUGCCGAGAUCCACAUGCCACCUUUAGGGCCGAGACACAUGAGGCGUUUUUCAGACGAGUCGGCAUGGCUCGAAUAUAAAUAUAGAAAGCUAUAUUAUAGAAGUAACUGCCGAAAUCCACAUGCCACCUUUAGGGCCGGACACAUGAGGCGUUUUCCAGACGAGUCGGCAUGGCUUGACAGGACAGGAAGCUCUCCGAUUGGCUAAUUGAUUUGAGGUAUCAAGAAUCAGCCAAUCGGAGAGCUUCCUCUUCUGUCGUGCCGUGCCGACUCUUCUGAGAUACGCCUUGUGUGUCUUGGUCCUUAGGCUAGUGUGUGGUCAAUCUUAGGGAUGUUGAGAGAUGAAUGAGCCUACAUUUUUGAUAGUUUACAAAUCACCGAGUUGUUGGUGGAUUAAUAAUAUUCACGAUAUUUGGUGGAUAAUAUAAUCACAAUAUUCGCAAGGAAUACUUGAAUGAAAACAUUUUUGAAGCGGUCACCCAUCCAAAAGCAGUACCGAAUGCUUGCAGCAGCUCUUAUAAAGCACUUGAUCCCUCUCAUUUUUGCAAUCCUAGAGUUUUCACUCUUUGGAAUCUGUUUGCCAGUUGUAUGUAUUUUUCUAUCAACAGAAAAUAGACAUCUCUAUCUAGUUCAGUUAAACCUGAGCUUGCUAUGCUAUACACAUCUUCAAAGUUGCCACUAUUGAAUUUAAUUUUUACUUGUAAAAGAAUUAAAAAUGUAAAUGUGUUACAUUCACAUACAUCUUCAAUGCUUACUUUUUGUAUUUAAUAGAUAAAUUAUAGAAACAGUCACUGGGUGACAUGCAUCUUUCAUGCUUCUCUAUUAGACUUUUGAUUGUUAAUCUUGUAAAGGUAGUCAUUUUGUAUUGAUUUACCUACCAAUUUUACUUGUAAGAGAUGCUUCUUAUUAACUUAUUAUUGUAUUAGAUGAUUGAAUUGUUUCAUGCAAGAAGUGUAUCAGACCAUCUAAUAGUUGCAAUCUUAUGUUUAAACACUAUUUUGAUAAUAAUGUUCUUCUAAUUUCAUAUAAAUAUGCAUUUAUGGCAUAUAAAUUAUCUACUGAAAUUAUUCCUUCAGUGCUUUUUGGUCACUUGAGCUAUUCAAAAUUUAAAGUUUACACAUAGAAAUCACAGAAUGUUGAUAAUUGGAUAAAAAUGGUCUAAUGCCCCUUUUGCAUGGAGCAAUUCAACUACAUAGCAUCUUUAAGCUAUUGUCAAAUCCAAUGGAAAAAUAAAAGAAAGAUUUACAAAAAAAGUUGAAAAAGAUUUACUAGAAAAAAUUACAAAUAACAAAAAAA
rnacentral:lncRNA from 1 species